ensembl:lncRNA
GUCUGCUUCUCUAAGUGAUACUCCGGCCACGUGGCGGCGGCCCUGGCUGCUCUGAAGGCGGUGGUCACUAACCUCAGACCUUGGGAUAGUGCCUGGCGUCCCUGCUGACUUUAGGGGAAAAGCCCACCCCGUGGAGGCGCAGUUGGUCAGGACCUCGGACAGGGACCCUGGCUCCAAAUCGUUAUCCGCGCCUUCUCUGGUUUUUCCCUGCUUUCCUUUCCCUCUCUUCCGGGCCAGCCUUGAGCACGAAGCCUGGGAGGCGUCGCCUGGCACCUUUCACUGUUUCAGCACCCGCAGGCAGGGCCCGAGGUGGAGGCGGGGAUCUGAGUCUGGCCUCACUCCGCCUAAGCUCUAGCUGUCCCUGGGGUCUCCUGCCAGACCACAACGUGGGGGCCGAGCUUGUGGGCCCCAGCUGGCCCCUCCUGAACAUGCGGCUAAGCUCAGCAUGGUGACACUCCUAUAACCCAGCAGCACUCGGGAGCCAGAGGCUGGAGGGUUGCUAGUUUGAAGCCAGCCUGGGGAAUAUUGCGAGCCCCUGGCUCAAAACAAAACUAAACUAAACUAACACUGUGACUGCCUCUCUGUCGGUCCUUCUGUGCAUCUGGAAGCAAGGGUGGCUGGACCACACUCUGGGAUCGAGACUGAUGAGCAACUCUAUGCGCUAGACACGGGACAUUGUCAGCGUCCUGUGCUUCAGCCCCAGCUGCCACUAGCUCUGUGCCACCAAAGGUCCAGCAACAAGAUCCAGGGCUUGGAGGGCAACAUCAUCAUCCCAGAAAUCAAGGUUACAAUGCUGAGGACCUGCAUUACAGAUGAAGAAACCAAGGCGCAGAGAGGGUGGUCAAACAGGACCCCACAGCUCACCCAGACUGGAGACCCCAGAAACUCGGCCCUGUGAGUAGACACCGGUGCAGGAUGACAACUUUGAGCCACGAGUGAGGACGAGGUGACUCCACCAAUCCAUCCAUUCAUGCAGCAAAUACUCACUGAGCACCUGCUAUGUGCCAAGCACUGCUCAGGCAGCUGGCAGCAUCAGUGACCAAGACAAACCAGGUCCACUUCUCAUGAAACUCCCAUUGUGUUAAACAAGAAAUAAAGAAGAAAAGAUGAAACGUCAUGGCCACUAGGUGCUCUGCAGAGGGUUAGACGGUGGAG